ensembl:lncRNA
GUAAAGUCAGUAGUUCUUGGAGUCUUUUGUCUCAUUAAUGUGGUUCCAGGAAUUGAAAGUUGGAAAAAUAUUCUAUUGUUUAAAUAUUUCUGGCAUCUACAAUUUUCCUUCCAUUUUCAUUAGUGUCUUAGCAACACAGGCUUGCUCUGCCAUGCUGCCUCUCCCAAAUCAGGCUUGUUAGAAAUCCCGUGGAUUAUGCCACGGGAAGGUCUUCAGAUCUCACCAAAAUCUCACUGAGGCCCUUCUGUAAGGACUGCAUCUUGUUCAGGACUCUCAGACCAGCCAGUUAUGUGUCCCAGCUGACUGCAACGGCAGCCUUUCUAAUUGCUGUUACUAAAUAUAUAGGACACCCUGUAUGAUACAAGUAACACAUCUUCAUCACCAUGGUGACCAGGCAACUUCUGCCUCCAAACACAUUCCUUUGCAGCAUAUGUCUACCAAGGACUGAAGAGAGCCAGUGAAGCUGUGGGCCUGGCAAAGGGGGAUCCCAACUAAUUUCUGGUUCUAAGAACUGAGUGGCCUGUGCUCUGCUCUUUGUACAUGCCAAUUUUCGGCAAAACCAAACUCACAAAUUUCUAUCACUUAAAACUGGUUCAGGAAAAAAGCAUUCAAGAGAAGGAGACUCUUAAGGUGACAGCUGGGAAUCGGCUACAUCAGAGGAUGCAGGAUUCACCAGGUCAUCCAGAAGAUGCAGACUCAGUGCUGACAGAACCAAUACCAGAAGCACCCACAGGAAUCCCUUUUGGGGGAGGGUCCCUUCAAGAAUGGACCUAAAAAAAAAUGUACGUGCCUCAAGGGAGCCUCUUCCUUCUAAGGACAUUGUAGGAACCAUUUACCUUCCACUUACAAAUGGAGCAGCGCCAGACGAAAUGAGAGUGUGGAUCUGCUCACCCAUUUCCCACCUCUGAGCUGUGCCUGUCGGUGCAAAGAUGCCGGCCUCCCACCUUCCCUCACUGGCCACAUGAAGGAGGAUGGACAGCAUGUGUGUGCACUUGGAUUUCUGAACUGUUGCUGCUGAGACGUAUCCCAGGGACUCAGCAGCCUGUGGAGAAGGCGGCCACGCAUCCCAGUUUGCCAGGGACAAGCCGUGUGUGUAUAUCUGCUGUCUUAGAAUGAUUUUAAAAGGCCGCUUCACUCUCAGAAGUGUCCUGUCACUUGAUAAGAUAGGUGAUAAAAUCCUUUACGCAACAGAAUCUUGUGUCUCACUGCUGACAGUCC